UCCNCAGGUCACUGCAUUUCAAACAGAGG
rnacentral:piRNA from 1 species